rnacentral:tRNA from 1 species
UACCUAGUGGUCCAUUGGCUAAGACUCUGCACUCCCAAUGCAGGGGGACCUUGGUUCGAUUCCUGGUCAGGGAA